UACAGAGGUCUCAAGCGUUGUUCGGAUUUAUUGGGUUUAAAGGGUGCGUAGGCGGUUCCAUAAGUCAGUGGUGAAAUACGGCAGCUCAACUGUCGAGGUGCCAUUGAUACUGUGGAACUUGAGUACAGACGAGGUAGGCGGAAUUGACGGUGUAGCGGUGAAAUGCUUAGAUAUCGUCAAGAACACCGAUAGCGAAGGCAGCUUACUAGACUGUAACUGACGCUGAGGCACGAAAGUGUGGGGAUCAAACAGG
rnacentral:rRNA from 1 species